UUCUUUCUAUUGGGUAAUUGAGUCCAUUGAUGUUGAGAGAGAGUAACGACCAGUGAUUAUUAUUUCCUGUUAUUUUAAUAUUGGUAAUGCUAGUGGGGAGGGGCAUGCAUGUGUAUGUGAGUGUGUGUAUGUGUGUGUACUUUCCUGUCUUUGCUCCUGUGGAAUUACUUAUUUUCUGAGUUUUCUUGGAUGCAUUUAGGACUCAUUAGGUUGGGGUUUUCCUUCUAGUAUUUUCUAUAGGGCUAGAUUUGUAGAUAGAUAUUGUUUGAAUUUGGAUUUCUCUUGAAAUAUCUUGUUUUUUCCAUAUAUGGUGAUUGAGAGUUUUGCUAGUUAUAGUAGUCUGGGUUGUUACCUGUGCUUUUUUAGAAAUUGAAAGAUAUCUGUCCAGACCCUUCUAGCUUUUAGAGUCUCUGUUGAGAAGUCAGAUAUAAUUCUGAUAGGUCUGCCUUUGUAUAUUAUCUGGCCUUUUUCCCUUGCUGCUUUUAAUAUUCUUUGUUCUAUGGAUUUUGUGGUUUGAUUAUUAUAUGCCGGGAUGGUUUUCUUUUCUGGACUACUCCACAUUGUGUUUUAUAAGCUUUUUAUAAGUUUAUAGGCCUCUCUUUCUUUAAGUUGGGAAAGUUUUCUUCUAUGAUUUUAUUGAAAAUGUUUUCUGGGCCUUGGAACUGGGACUCUUCACCUUUUUCAAUUCCUAUUAUGCUCAUGUUAGGACUUUUCAUGGUAUUCCAGAUUUCCUGAAUGUUUAGUGUCAUGUGUUUUUUUAGAUUUAACAUUUUCUUUCACUGUUGUGUCUUCUAUUCCUGAGAUUCUCUCUUUCAUCUCCUGUCGGUGAUUCUUGAACCUGUAGUUCAAGUUAUCUUCCCUAGGCUCCAGGAUUCCCUCAGUUUGUGUUUUCUUUAUUGCUUCUAUUUCCACUUUCAGAUCUUGCACUGUUUUAUUUAUUACCUUCACUGUUUAGUUGUAUUUUCCUGUGUAUUUUCCAGGGAUUUGUUUCUUCUUCAAAGACUUCUAUCUAUUUGACUAUAUGUUCCUGUAUUUCUUUAAGGGAUUUAUUCAUGUCCUCUUUAAAGGCUUUUAUCUUCUUUACAAGAUGAUUGAAUUUAAGGUCAAUAUUUAUUUAUUUAUUUAUUUAUUUAUUUAUUUAUUUAGGUUUUAGUCGAGACAGGGUUUCUCUGUGUAGCCCUGGGUGUCCUGGAACUCACUCUGUAGACCAGGCUGGCCUCGAACUCAGAAAUCCGCCUGCCUCUGCCUCCCGAUUGCUGGAAUUAAAGGCGUGCACCGCUACUGCCCAGCAAAGGUCAAUUUCUUGUGCUUCAGUUGUGUUAGGAUAUACAGAGCUUUCUGCAGUAGGGCAGUUGUGCUCUGGGGGUGUCACCUUGCCCUGAUUUUUGUUUACUGUGUUCCUUUGAGGGUCUUUAGGUAUCUGGAUGACUUUGGUCCCUGGAUGUUCCUGUUGUAAUAGUUAUUGGGAGUGGGGUUUUAACCUUGUUGGUCCUGGAAUGGCAGGCCUCUGAUGGGAUCCUUGAUGGUAUAGUUAUAUAUCAGCAGGUCUAUAUGGUUCAGGAUCCACAAUUCUGAUUAAGGUGGGCAGAAAGGUGACAGGAGAAUGGUGGUCCCCCCUGGGAUGGCAGGCUGCUCAAGGCAGUUUGGUGUGCCUCAGAUGAAGAUUAUAUGUGGUAGUUUUAAUGAUAAUGAACUAUCACACCAUUACUGAUGGGAAAAAAGAUAUUGAGCUUCACAAAUUACUGCUUAUGCCAUUAACUAUGAUAUAUUCAUAGGUCUAUUAUGCAGUUUUUGAAAUUAAGAGGAGUUAAUUCUACAAAUAUUAAGUUAUUCCUUGAACAUUUCUAAUGGCCUGUUAAAUAAUUAACUUCAAUCUGAAAGGCACAUUUGACCUUUGCUUAGCUUUUUUUUUUUAAUUUCCAGAGCAGUUAAUGGAAUUUAUGUAGUAUUCUAGACUGUUUUAAGUGGGAAUCCAAAGCAUGUGCAGGAAAGCAUGCUCAGAAGGACAUUUGAGAUGACAUUUAAUUGACGGCUGUUGUGGUGUGCUUUCUUCAUCUCUCACAAAUGCAUUUAGGCUUACAAUUCCUCAUUGUAUCAGUCUUAUGACAUUAUAGAGAGGAAGUUAUUAGAUUUCGUUCCUAUUAAUAUGAACAUUAAAUAACUGGUCUAAAAUUUUUAAUUCACAUGGUGCUUAGGUUUUUAUCAAGUACCAUGGAAAUUGUCUUAAUUUUGCAAGAUGCAAAAUUAAUCUAUGUACCAUUUCAUAUAAUGAAGGGAUAUCUGGAAUACUAAUUAAAUAGAACAUUUUCCUUCCAAAACAUAAAUGAAGAAUAAUUUUAUACUCAAAGAAACCCAGAAUGAUAUAUGGAAGCUAUUAAGAUAAACCAAUUUUUAAUUUGUGAGUUAAAUACUAAAGGAAACUUUUAAGGACACAGCUUCCAAAAUGUAAGAAAACCUAGGGUCCUCUUAGGUAUGCAUCUACCUUGAGAUAUAGAGGUGGGCAGAGUUCCUCUGUGCACUGGCUUAUACUAUAACACAAAAGAAAAGACACAAACAAAAAUGUUCACAUGGAAGAGGUCUACCAUGGUCACCCCUUUCCUCUUUAGAACAUAGAGAUGCCACAGGGUAGCACAAAAGACAGAAGCAUAUUGACCUUGCCUCAAAUUAGGGAAAGAGAUCAUAGACAGAUCUCUUAUCAAGGGGAGAUAUGGACAAAAUCUUUAUUACAAAAUGUGGUUUUCUCACACUGCUCCUAAGCCAUGCUUUUUCAUCCUGUUAUUCAUGUUGCCUUUUCGAUCAUGAACCAUCGCAUAGACAGUAGCAUGGAUUCUUUGUCUUGAGGUAUUGACUCAUCUCUCUGGUUAGCACUUAGGUUGGCUCUUCUAUGUAAUUUUCACACUGCUUUACAACUGUGCAUAAAACAUGAUGGUGUUCUCUGAGUGACAGUCAUGAAUCUUUAGUAUUGUGGGAGUUUAGAGGUUUACAAUUCACAUUGCCAUAUAAAUCCAGGAAGAUGUUAAAUUCAACUACCAAAAUGAAGUGGCACAAAACAGAAACAGUUAUACCUGUCCACAUAUGUAUAUAACAUUGGCAGAAAAUGGAGAAGCUGAUAUUUUACAGAUUAGAUGUGAGGAAGGCUGAUAGGCUCCUGAUCUUUUAGCUUCUAUGUCACUUUAAACACCCACAUGUAAUGAUCUGAGAGAACUAAGUUGAUCCAAAAGAGAUUUCUUCUAGGUCUGGAUUGAGAAUAAGAACGUGAGUGUGUAGUCUGAUGAAGAACCUCUAAGUUCCGAAAACUAAACAGUCAGCAGAUAUGGGGCAGCCUUUACCAGGUGAAAUGGCUCUUACAUUCUUAUAAAUAUAUCAUUCUUUGCAGUUACUUAAGCACAAUUUCUGUCCUCAUUUCUUCAUUCCUGCUGAGUAAGCUUGAAAAAGCACAAGCCCAGAUACUGGUGCCUUUUUGCCUUUCAGGACUCAGAUCUGCCGAGCAUAUGUCCCAUAGAUGGGAGUGAAUUACAGUCACAAUGAGAGUAAUAUGGUAUGGAAGCUCAUUUCCUUUUCCUGACCUGGCAUUUUGUACAAAAAGUCCUUAUUAAUCAUCAUAGCUUUUAUUGAAACAGUCUAAUGGUAUUCACAUGGUGAGGGAAAAAAUGAUAGUUUGAAUAGCCCAGCAAAUUUCUACUGGAGGGCUUUGUACUGCUUUCUCUAGUCACUGCUAGGGAAACUGGAAUCAUUCUGAAUAGAAGAACCCUGUCUCUUCUCCAAUGAGUAGGAGUGUCAUCUCAGGAGUGUGGUCUAUGUUCUUCAUUCUUUCUGUAUGCUCACAUCAAGUGGCAUAGUUUCAGUAUACAGGACCAAGUGUUUUCAAUGGAAAACUAGAGACCCACAAUAGCCGUGAUUCUACCCAUUAUUUCCUGGAUUCUGAAAAUAAUAGCUGAGAUAAAUGACAAAAACUUUACAAUGCUAAAAUUAUAAAUUAACCUCUAUGAUAGAUUCAUUAGGCCCAUCCUUUGUAAUUGUAUGAAGUUAAUUAAGAUAAUGUUUCCUUAUGUUUCCACUAAACUUUGAAAACUUCAGAAAUCAUGCAAAUUACCAGUGAUAAAAUCAUUAUUCAUGGUUAUAGCUUGAGUGUGUGCUUUUCCAUAUUUAACUUUUUUAUCUCCCCCAAGUGCAGAGCUAACUCAAGGAUCUAUUGGAAGAGUAGAUGAUUUUACUCUACUGUAUGUUAAUUUUUCUUCAUGGGGGAAUGUUAAUUCCUAUUUCUAUCUAUUCUUAAUAUUUUCAUCCAGAAUAAUGCUGUGAAAUAUUAGAAUAAAACAGACAACAUGGUUAAAAUUUAGGCAUGAUAUUAAUGACUUGAUAAAUAAACGAUGAGCCAAAAGGACAUAUUCCUGAGUGAGAUGACAGGUGCCUACAAAUUUGAAGAUGUAGCUUUGAUCAGUUCUGGGUCCCAGACUGUGGACUGGUACCACCAGAUAUUAGCACCAAUUUUCUCUAUUUAAUGAAUCAAAGCUCCCCAUCACAGAUAUUUCCAGGGUGGGGUAAUGGGACUUUUAGUUGACUACCAAAGUAAAGGACUAAGUUUAUUAUAGUACAGCAAUUGGGGACUAUGAUUUUAGGACUACAGUUUGAAAACUAUUAGCCCUGAAAAAUUGGCCAUUAACUAAUAAAUAUCUAGCCUGUUAUUUUAGGUGUAUGCUUUAGAUAUGAUUUAGAGAGUGUUUACCACUAUUUUUGGUGAUAACAUGUUUUAAGACGUCAUAAUAUGUACUCACCUUUUUUAUUGGAACCUCAAAUACUGAGGUUCAUUUCGCAAAUAAUGACUGUGAGAAAUAUAUAUUUGCAUAGCUUCGAUCAAUGGUGUAUUGAAAAUAAUAGGUACAGUGAGCACUAGGAAUGGAUUUUUAAAUAUAAAUGUAAAUGAGAUAAAGUAAUCAUCCUAUAAACUGGCUUAUCUGUAUCUAUAUGAUGGUGGACAUUUAUGUGAGUGUGUUGCUAUUCUUUGCAAUAGUUUCAUAUAUUGGAAAACAACAACAAAAAGAGCCAGGAAGCUAAGUACCAGCACUCAUCCCUUUCUGCCCGCUGACUGUGAUGCGCGCUCAAGCUCCUGCUCCCUCAUCCCUUUCUGCCCGCUGACUGUGAUGCGCGCUCAAGCUCCUGCUCCCAUCAUUUCCCCACCACGAUGGCUUGAAGCCUUGAAAGGAGACCCAACAUAAGUCCUUCCUUCCCCACUUAAGUUACUUUGGUUAGAUAUUUUCUCGUGGUAAUAAAUAAAAUAAUAUUAACCAAAAUAUCUCAGACUGACAAAAUAGUAUUACAUGUUCUGUCUCCUUUGAGUAUCUUUGAUUUUAUAUAAAUACAUAUAUGCACAUAUACACAAAAUAUCAUAUGAAAGUAUAAAUGGGAGUUUCUUGGGGAAGGAAGGAGACUAACAGGAAGUGAUAGGACAUUGUUCGAGUACACGAUAUAUUUAAAUGAAAAGACAUUUUAUGCAACUAGUCACUGUGUACGUCAAAUAUAUUGUGAUAAAAAUAAAGGGGCAGUAACAGCAAGAUGAAAGUUGUAUGCUUGUGUGUGCAUCCAUGCUUUGUGUGAUUGAGGCCGUGCGGUGACAGUAGGCGUGGGAGGAUGUCUGAAACUUAACAUUUCAAGAUGUUUAAAAUGUAAAGAAGAAUGGAGUGUUUUCAAGAAAAAUUUACUUAGCCCUGCAAUACUAUAUUUACCAGGUACAGAAAUUUAACGGCUGUUAGGGUUAUAUUAUUUUCUAUAUCUUUACUUCUUUCUCACUAGUGCAUUCUCUGUCUAUUACGCCUUUAUACAUUAGGCAUUGGAACCAUGGUAUAAGGUACCUGUUCCUUCUUCUGAGUAUAUUCAAACAUGUUAAACUAGCAUAAAAUACAAAUUUGUUUUUUUCUAUAUCUUGAGAACUAUACAUUUUGAAUCAGUUUUUGUACAUCCUAAUGAAACAUUAUAAUUUUUCAAAUAUUUUUAUUUGAAUUAGGGAAAAUCAUUAUACUAAUAAAAUGACAUUUAGAACAAGCAGUUACUAGAAACAAAGAUAAUGUUGUUAUCAAUCAGUUGUUCCUUUUAGACUUACAGAGAUUUGAGACAUUCAAAUAUAUCAUUCUAUUUGAUCUAUAAACUCCAAAGCAUAACCAACAUAUUCUAGACAUCUAGAUGAGGCAUUCGAGAUACAAAUAUGAGAAGUAUAAUGUAAUAUUAUUUUGAAAUCUUGUUUUGAACUAGGCACUGUUCAAGUAUGGAAUUACAGAAGCAAAGUUCAUCAAAACAAUAAAUGAUUUCUCAUCGUACAAUUUCUACCUUACUUUGAAAUACCAAAUUUUUAAAUUUACUACUAUGCUAAUUGGUGGUGAGUGAUCUAUAUAUCUCUAAAUGGUUCCUUAUGAAGACUGACACUAGAAAGCAGGAGACAACUGUGUCUAUGAGAGAAAAUGUCCCUUAAGUGAAAAUAUGUGAGGGAUAGGGACAGGAAGUGGGCAAGGCUUGGGCUUGGUAUGUUCGUGGACAUUGCAAGAACAAAAGUAGGAAAAGAAAGUGAGCAAAUUAAGUUAGAACUGACAAAAGCAAGAGCCAGAGCAAGGCAUUCAGAGUAUCCUUAGAAGCUGAAGAGCAAAGUGUGGCCUAGCAGUCAUAAAGUUCAGUUUACUGACCUUAAAGAAUCAGUAAAGGAAUUGGAGCAAUAACCAAAUGUCUCAAGCCUAGAAGAAAAUAGGAAGAUUCGAUUGAGACAAGGGACAUAGAACAAGAAAUAGGUAGCCUUUAAAAUAUGAGAUACGACAGCAUUUUUGAAUGUUCAUGAGAAUGAGCUAACACAAAGAGAACUUAUUACUUAAUGAAGAGAUUCAUCUUUUCUACAGUAAAAUUCCUGAAUUGCAGACAGGAUAUGUAAUCUAAGCAAGCCCCAGAAGAACCACAAAGUCUGGUGGGUAAAGAGUUAACUUGCCAACCAUAAAAAGGAGAGAGAACAGGGCAAAGGUCACAGGAAGAUGGGCUAGCAGUGCUGGUGGUCAGAGAACUGAGGCAUCACAGGACAUCAUGUGCAGCACUUUUUGUUUGUUUGUUUGUUUGUUUUGCUUGAUUUUUCUGAAAGUUGAUAAUAUGUGAAGUAGAUACUUAAGAGGUAGUGGAGAAAAAUAAGUUUGUGAUAACUGUCGUUAUCUGUAAUGAACAGUUGAAAGCAUUAAAUGGGUCUGAAUUGCAUAUCGUAUUUUCUCAGUUGGAUCAUUUUGCAAAAAUGAAAAAGUCAUAAAGAGUUUCAUGGCAGGAGUUAGACAAUGGAGUUAUACAGCUAAAGUUUCUGCUGUGUUCUGUGUCUUUUUUUGUUUGUUCGUUUUUGUUUGUUUGUUUUUUGAGACAGGAUUUCUCUGGGUAGCCUUUCUGUUCUGAAACUCACUCUGUAGACCAGGCUGGCCUUGUACUCAGAAAUCUGCCUGCCUCUGCCUCCCAAGUGCUGGGUUAAAGGCGUGUUCCACCACUGCCUGGCCUGUCUGGUUCUUUUACAUCCACCCAUCAGAAGGGUUUUUUCUUUUUUUUAAUUACAAACAUAUGUGUUAUCUUCAUUGUAUUUUAAAUCUGUAACCUAAUGAUUUCUGUAGAAAUAAUUUCUAAGACUAAAAAUGCCAUGACCCAGGAGUUCCUUGACUGUUUUUCAAGUGGUACAAUCAUUGGUCAUGAGCUCCAAGAAUAGCUGUUGUCAUCAGGCCAAGUCAACCCUUUGAUAUUUUCAUUUCAUAAUUUCAGUCUACCGGGAGACAACAGAACAAGGCAAUUCUAAAUGUAAGGACCUCAAAAAUGAUUCACACCAUCCCACAUUAUCAAAGAUGAAAAGCGUACAGAAGGAAAACUGACUCAAUAUUCAAUAUCAACAUCUUCAGUGCAAAGAAUGGAAAGCCCCAUCUCUUCUACCCCUCUGUACCAACACCAGCCAUUUAGCAGUUAUUUAUGGUAAAUAAUCUGUUUGAAACACUUCCCCUAUUUUUGAGGACUACUAAUUACUACUGGCCCCCUUUUAAAUCUAUUACAUUCUCACUAUGAGUAAAAUAACUUCCCUGAAAUAGAGUAUUGGUCAUGAGAUUAGCUGUGGAGGUGAUCAAAACAGUAAAGUGGGAAACAGGUAUCCAAACUCAGGCAGGUGUUUUGCAUUGCACACUGGAAUAUCUAUGGCUCACCAUAUCCCAGUGUACACUCUCUUUUGCGGUUGAGAAGAAAUGUUCCAAAGUCUCUAAACAUUAUUAGGAGAGGAAACUCUCUUUAUCCUGUUUUGAUCUGAGAAAUAUGUGUGCUUGUGUUGAAAUAUUAAACUGAACCCCAUUAAAAUGUAUAUAUUUGAAGCUAACUAAAAAGUAAAGAUAAACUAUGAAAAGACUAUGUGGUGGCAAGCUUUACAUGAGAAGUAGUAUAUUAGAAAUUUACCUGGAUUGUGUGGAACAUAAAUUUAAGUUGUUAGGCUUGAUCAUAAAAUUUAGAUGGUAAACUUAACAAAAUUUUCUCGAGAGGAAAAUGUUCCAGGAAAUGCAGACUUGAAAUGAUUCUGAAUAGAUCUGCUGUACAAUGCCUAGAUCUCAUUCAAAGGUUUGGUUAGGUUUCAGGGUUUGUGUCUCCAUUUGAUUUUCACAGAUUCAAAUUAAUUAUGUAUUUGUUUAUUAUUUGCAAAAAGGCCAGAAGCUCAUCUGUAGUUAAAAUGCCCGACAGGAUCUAGGAGAAACUAAGGACAAUUAAAAUAUAUAUUUACUUGAAAUAUAUGUUUAAAUUUAAUAAAGUGAAUAACAUUUACCAACCUUCUCCAUGUUGUUUGCACUUUGAACUGAUUUCCAAUUCAUCAUCACAAAGAAUAAUGGUUUAUUUGCCCAGGGAAAACAGGGUCUCAAUAAUGUAAUGGAUAUAGUGUUGCAUUUCUGUAGGAAGAGGUGCCACACAUUUUUAACAAUAAAAAGAAGCCUCACUUGUUAAUGCAGAACUUUACUGUACAUUUCCAAACAAAAUGAAGUGUAAAGACCCCACCCCAACCCUGAUCUAAUACUUUGCAUUCGCAUAAAUUCAUUUCUCCCUGCCUUUGGCCAGCCGGGCUGCUUACAUAGCAUGUGAGUUGCUUCUAUUAAAUGCUAUUGAGCAAAUCACAUCCUCCAUGCUUAUCAAAUGACAGGCAGUGGAAUUUGGUAAUCAUAGGAAAACAACUUCUAGUUGGGCUUAUGAAACGAGGAGAGCCCUAGAUUGCAUUUGACUUUCAAAUGUUGAAAUAGAGCUGAGAACCAUGCUCUUUCUCAGAGAAGGUCUGGCCUUUCCUCACCAAGCCUAAUAAAUGCCCAAGGGAAAGAAAUAAUAAGCCCUCCCAUUAUUGUCAUGGGAAAACUAAAGUAGCAGGCUAGACCUACAGGCUACAUGAAUGCUACUCACUGUAGAUGUUGUUAGUUUUUAUUUAUUUUUUUAAUGUCUAUUGGGAGAGGGGGAGACACUUAGGUGGCGCCAUGAAAACGGCUUAAUUAGCUUAUCAGUAGCUCUGUUAAGACUUUCCACCACCUGACCCUACAUAAUAGCUGAGGCGCACACAUCAUGCUUUCUCUUUCAUGUGUGCAAGAUGCACAAAGACUUUAAAACCACAGAUUUUGUGAUGCUGUCUUAAUUUUCAAACAGUAUUUUGUAGGAUCUUCAAACAGCUAGAAUAAGCAAAGAAAAAUAUUUUUUUAAUUGUGUAAGUUUUAUAUUUCACGGUUGUCAAGGCAAACAUUAUGAAAAGCUGAUGAUGAAGUGUCAUGUUUCUUGUAUUAUAAAUGUCCAUCCACCCCCACUAUUUUAGUAGAAGGUACAAAUUUAGAGCAACAUUUUAUAGGAGAUAAGGCAGUUUGUCCAGAAAUGUGUCAGCCACUUCACUGGCCUCUCACACAAUGUUCCAAAAGAAUAUAAUAGGAAAAUGUAUGUUUAUGUGAAAAUAUAAAACUCAAAUGAACACCAAGGAGAAUUUUAAUAAUUGAAGAAAAUUACACUGAGAGCCAAACUUGUCUGCUGUUUCAUACAAAGGUUCCCUAUUGGCUUUAAUUGCCUGCAUCAUCACCAUUUCUGCAUGCCACUUAUUAUCCUCCAUCAAAAAUCAAGAAACUUUUCAACGUCUAUACGAUUACAGAGAAAUAAAAUCACCCACCCCCUUCUUUGAGACAGGGUCUCCCGUCUGUCAUGAAACUCAGUAUAUAUUCAAGGCUGGCUUUGAACUCAGAGUGAACUGCAUGAAGUUAGUAUGCCACUAAGUCCAGAAAAAUCAAAAAUUUAAAGCUCUCUAUUAAAUGUUAUCUGAGCCAAUAACAAACCAUUCUAAAUCUCUUUAAAAUUCAGCUUUUAAUCAUAUAAGUCAAUGAAAAACACUAGUUGGAAAUUUAUAACUAUUAAGCAUAAAUAAAUGAAUAUAAUACAAAAGCAUUCCAAAGACUUUUCUCCACCAGUACUGAACCAAACGAACACAUUUUCAGUCAGUUCCCAACCACCACUGUGUAAAACUGUAUUGCAUUUUUAAGCAUUAAUGUAGCUAAUUUUCUCCAUGCAUACGGCCCAGUGCAAUGCGUUGCCUUUCAAAAGCUGAGCUUAAAAAUCAUAUGAUUAAAAAUGAAUUUAACCAGAUAAUUAUAAUUUCCUCUGUAAAUAUAUAUCUCAUACACACACACAGAAUUUCUCAUAGUUAACAUAUAUACCUAUGUUUAAGGAUACAUGCAUGUAUAUUCAGUUUUACACUUCCUCUAUUUUUAUUUUUAAAUUUAUUUUUCACAGUUUUAAUUAAAAUAAAAUUACACCACUUACACCAUCCCUUUCCUUCUUCCCAUCACUGACUUGCCUUUUCCAAUCUCAAAUUGAUGCUCUUAUAUCUCCUCUUUAUAUUUGAGUUCCAUCAAUUCUACGGUAAUUACAUAAUUCCUUUCUCUUAAUUGAAAUCUCCAUCAUUUACUGAGAAGAACAUGGAUCCAAUGUGUCCAUAGUUCUUCAGAUUUAAAUUGGAAGUUAGGGUUUUUUUUUAUUAAAAUACAGUAAUAUGUGUUCAAUUAAAAACUCCUUUGGCCACACACUAUUUUUUUUACAGUUCAUUUCUGUGGAAUAGAUGGAAUAUUAAAUGCUCAUAUGAAUUUCAAUGGGAAUUAUUCUCUAAAGUGAACAUAAUGGAAUUUGGAAAUAAGCCAUAUUUAAUAACUGACUGUAUAAUUAAGUUUUUAUGUGAGGAUGUACCUCAUGUUAAAAUACCUGAAUUUAAGCACUUAUAAAUAUCUUCUGCAUGAUAAUUUCUAAAAAAUUAGAUUAAAUGAAUUGUCAGUCAAAUUUUUGUAAAAUUAAUGAUCCUGAAAUGUAUUUUCUAAAGGAAAGUUAUGACACCAGUUUUACCAGAAUGCAAAAUUUUUUGAGACUUGGUGGCUAAUCACAUAUUUGGAUAUUUGUAAAUAGGCUUGUCGCAAUACACAGUACAUUGGAGAGAAAGGAGUAAAAGUUGUAUCCUUUAGCUGAAAAUGCAGUCUACCUUUUGUGUUCUCCAUCCUCAAGGAGAGGAAGAGCAGAAUGUCACUUUGUUUGCUGUAAGCAACUGACAGGAGAAAGCUGGGAAUCAUGAUUGAUCUAAUGGCCAUUGGUUCAUUAUAAAAAUGGUCUCUAGGAACUAAGUCUCUCUAGACUCUCACAUUCAUCAGGCGUCUUGUGACGUCGUAACAUUGGCGGUGACUAACAGCUUGAGGCCUUUUUCUGUUUCAUGGUCUGAUUGUGACGUCAUAACAUUGGCGGUGAUUAACAGCUUGAAGCCUUUUUCCGUUUCAUGGUCUGAUUGUUCUACUGACAAGAAUACUUUCAGUGUAUCAGAAGCUCAGAUGACAGGGAUUUUGUAAUGAUUCCUGGCUAAAUACCAUAACUGGACUUAAAUUUCUCCACUUCCUACUCUUCUGCAGAGCUGGCAAAUAUAAUAUGCUGAUCACCAUAUUGCUGUAUUACUCAUCAGAGCAAGGGAAAUGACAUAUUUCGUCUACUAUUAUUUGAGAUAAAAUUAAACUGUAAUGAUGUGUGAUUCAUGGAUGUAAUAAUUCAUUAAACAAAUAUUUAUUUAGCAAUUUGCAAGGAAUUAUAUAUGGCUAAGAGAAGGAAACUUUUGCUUUGUUAAAUAUUCAGUAAAUAAAGAAAACCUCUAUUCAGACACAGCCAUCUUGGAAAGAUACAAGCAGUAUAUUAGUCUUGUAGAGGCUGUGUUUAACAUUAGAAGUCUGCCGAUGAGCCAUUCUUGUAUUUUACAUCGUAGGGGAAAUAUAUCAUAAUUUGCUCUCUUCAGUGAGGACAUGACAGCUUGUGUCUUCCUCAGUCAGACAGUCUGCAGCAUCUCCAUUACUAAUGGUAGCUGAAGAAUUUCUAGUGCCUGGUGUAUGUGACUACAGAAUUACAUCUCAAGUCUGUUUGAUUUCAUCAAGUAGGAAAACAAUACCUGCAACUACUGGAGGACAGUCUGUGGGUGAAGCUCACUUUGCCAUCGUAAGGGAAGAUAGAUGGAGUAUCUCUUUCCAGUAUACAUUUUUCUAUAUGAUCACUAUUGAAUGUUUUCAGGUAUAGAGAGAGGAAGAUCAGAGGGAACAAAAAGACAGGAAGAAGAGACAAGCAUGAUAAUAAUUUUUCUAUAUGAUCACUAUUGGAUGUUUUCAGGUAUAGAGAGAGGAAGAUCAGAGGGAACAAAAAGACAGGAAGAAGAGACAAGCAUGAUAAUAAUUUUUCUAUAUGAUCACUAUUGGAUGUUUUCAGGUAUAGAGAGAGGAAGAUCAGAGGGAACAAAAAGACAGGAAGAAGAGACAAGCAUGAUAAUAAUUUUUCUAUAUGAUCACUAUUGGAUGUUUUCAGGUAUAGAGAGAGGAAGAUCAGAGGGAACAAAAAGACAGGAAGAAGAGACAAGCAUGAUAAUAAUUUUUCUAUAUGAUCACUAUUGGAUGUUUUCAGGUAUAGAGAGAGGAAGAUCAGAGGGAACAAAAAGACAGGAAGAAGAGACAAGCAUGAUAAUAAUUUUUCUAUAUGAUCACUAUUGGAUGUUUUCAGGUAUAGAGAGAGGAAGAUCAGAGGGAACAAAAAGACAGGAAGAAGAGACAAGCAUGAUCCACAGGCACCACAGGCAGCAGCAUUCCAGCAGAUAUGCGAAAACAAAAAUUGAGAGCUUAAGGAAUACGUCCCAUUCAAGUGAAACCAGAAGAAAGGAAAUUAUGAAUUUGCAAAACAUUAUUUUUUGCAGUUCCAGAGAUAAAUAUUCUUUUAAAUACCGUUAAUAUAAAGAUAAUAGACAUGCUUUUUUUUGGGAAAAGUGAUUAUUUGUAUAACUCUCUUUAGGCUAUAAUUGCCUGGUAACAAGCCUAAACCGCCUUAUCUUUGCACAGGUCUGGCCCAGACGCAGUGCUUUCUGUCCCUCUCAGAAUUUAAGGGGCUAAGUACAUGUAACACACUCAAUGAUUUCUAUUCUUGUGGUGGUUGUUUGUUUAAAUUUAUGUUUAUUGAAAUUCUUCAUAUAAUAUUUUCUCAAAAUAUUGCUUUGUAGGGGGAGUUUUUACAUUAUUGGUGCUUUGCUUGUAUAAUGUUAUUUCUGAUUUUGUGCUCUUUUGAUGUGUGUAUAUGUGUAAGUAUGUGGUUCUUUGGUUUUUCUUUCUUUCCUUCUGUUCUUUUAUUUUUAAUAUACCUGUUUGUUUUCUAAAGCAAGAAAUACAGUAGAGUUGUGUUGGGCGGGGUAAUCCAGGAAGAAAUGAGAGAGAAAAAAACAGUUAUUUCUGACAAACUCUCAAUAGAUGGAAUUAUAGGAAUCUUUAACUUGUGGUUUGGAAAAAUAAAAUUAUUUGAGGACAGAAACCUAAUGAGAUAAUUUGGGAAUUGAAGGUUUUUUCAUAAUUUUCAUAAUUUCCUUGCAAAAUUACUGUUUAUAAAAACACAAAGAUUGAACACUGUGUUUAUAGAACAAGGGUAGUUUGUGAGAUAAAACUAAAGGUGAAGUCAGGCUUAACACAGAAAGUAGAUGCAAGGCAGAGAGAGCUAAGGAGGACUCUGGACAGAGGAUCUCAUUCCUUGACCAUGGUUAUAUUUUGGAGUAAAGGAAGCCAGUGCUUAACUUUUUGGCUGAGUGGACAUAAAGACUGUGCUGUGAAUUGCUGGUUUAACUCCUAACAGUACACACAGGAAUCCAUCUGUGAAUUGUGCGCAGAGCUCAUCUAGCAACUCUUUAAAGGGAAACAGCGGCCUCAGGAGACCCUGAAAGAUAAUCAGAUUUUUAAUUAAAAGUAGAUAUGAAAAAUGGUGAUAGAGGGAAUUGUAAACUGAAGGGAAAUUUGCUUUUUGUUAGCACUAACUACAGAUAUAUCUCAGCUCUGAACAGAACAGAAGUGCAGAAUACAUCCCGUUGUUUAAUCUUACACAGGUACAAGAAACACUAGAAAGAAGUCAAUAGCUACUUGACAUAGUCAAUGAUAUUCUCAAAAUCACUUAUUUCUGAGAAGAUAUUUUAAGGAAAAAUGCUAGCUAGCUCUGCAAAUACAUAAGCUUUUACUGUACCUUUCAUAAAAAAAAAAAUUUCCUCUUCCCUGUUCUCCUUUUUUCCCUCCUUUCCUCUUCCUCCUUGUCCUCCUCCAUCAAGCCCACUCUAUAAAUUAUCUUUAACCACAAUGCCAAUAGAAAACCUUCUACCUUCUCUGAUUCAACAAAUGGUAUGUAUAAGAAUAAACUGUGUUAAGCCGAUUGUGGAGGUACAUUCUUUUAAUCCCAACAUUUGUUUGAUAAAAGCCUGAUUACAUCAUAAGUUUCUUUCUCACUGUGUUCACUCAAGGAUAUGUUGGGCCUCAACACCACAGGACCCUGAACCUGAUUACUAUUCAGACCUGUUUACUCUUCAGCUGAAAGUAGCAUCUGAGGAUGUCACUGGUGACACUGUGCGGUGUGACUGACUACAUUUACAUAGAUUUCCUUCAAAUAAAGUAACUGGAUCUAAGUACUCUAUCAUUUCUUUUCCCAUUCAUUCUUCUAGAAUUAAAGUUUCUUUGUCGCUCUUUGUGUGUAAAAUGCAUGUUGUAAUGUUUAUUUCUUUGGAAACCAUAUGAUUACAUCUACUGCUAUCCUUGUACUAAGUAUAGCGCAGUUAAUUUAAGCAAAUUGUGGUUCCUAUCUACUAUCUAUCUAUCAUCUAUCUUUCUACUAUCUACCUAUCUAUGUACCUAGCAUCUAUUUGUCUAUUAUCUAUUUAUCAUCUAUCACUGAUCAUCUAUUUGCCUAUAUAUAGUUAUUUGUCUCUAUCUAUCAUCUAUCUAUCUAUCUAUCUAUCUAUCUAUCUAUCAAUCUAUCUAUCUAUCAUCUAUCUAAUCUAUCUAUCAUCUAUCUGUGAUGUUUUUCUUAAGGAAGUGUCUAGAAGUAUCAGCAUCAUCUGAGAGCUUGUUGGAAAGAGAAAGCUUAGAGCAGACCAUAUCAACUUAAAAAGUCUACAUUUAUCAAGAUACUCUGUAACUAUAAUCUGUAUUCACUGUAGCAUAGUUAUUGUGAAUUGUGAUGUAUUAUAUCUGGCUGAACUGUUUCAAUGGAAAGUAACAAAGAUAAAUCACAGUGAAUAUGCCCAAUACUUUUUUUUUGCCAGUAAGCACUGAAAAACAAACUUGUCUCCAUGUCAUCACCUUUGUAUAUCAGGCACCACCAGGUGCUUAUCUGUUUGUUGAAACAUACGAUUUAAUACUUACAGGGUAUAAAUACAAUCAAAUAGUGCCCUCUAAAAAUUAUAACAUUGCCACUGAUGUCAUUAAAUUUUAUUGGUUAUUUUAUUUGUUUACAUUUCAAAUAUUAUCCCCCUUCCCGGUUUCCUCUCAGAAAACUCCCUAUCCCAUCUUCCCUCCCAACUGCUUCUGUGAGGGUGCUUCCCCCACCCACCUACCCACUCCUGCCUCACCAUCCUAACAUUUCCCCACCCUUGGGCAUCAAGCUUUCACAGGACCAAGGGCCUCCCCUCCCAUUGAUGCCAGAUAAGGCCAUCCUCUGUAACAUAUGCAGCUGGAGCCAUGGGUCCCUCUAUGUGUAUUCUUUGGUUAAUGGUUUAGUCCCUGGGAGCUCUGGGGGGUGUGGUUGGUUGGUUGAUAUUGGUGUUCUCCCUAUGGGGUUGCAAACCCCUUCAGCUCAUUCAGUCCUUCCUCUAACUCCUCCAUUGUGCUCCCCAUGCUCAGUCCCAUGGGUGGAAGAGCCUCUCAGGAGACAUCCAUAUCAGGCUCCUAUCAGCAAGCACUUCUUGGCAUGAGUAAGAGUGACUGAGUUUGGUGGCUGCAUAUGGGAUGGAUCCCUAAGUAGGACAGUCUCUGGAUGGCCUUUCCUUCCGUCUUUGCUCCACUCUUUGUCCCUGUAUUUUCUUUAGACAGGAGCAUUUCUGAGUUAAAACUUUGAGAAGGGUGGUUGACCCCAUCCCUCAAAUGGGGGCUGUGCCUAACCUCUGGAUAUGGUCUCUAACAGGUUAUCUCUUCCCUUCACUGAUGGGAUUAUUAAAAGGGACAUUGUUUUACUACUUUUAUAUGAGUUGGAAUUCUGAGUUAUAAUUCAAAGUUUGUGCUUGUCCUGGAUUUUUUUCAUUGAUUGUAUUUUUUGGUGUGGUGGAAGUUACUUUUCAUUUAUUUAUCCUCUCAUCCUCUCAUAUGUUAUAUCCCAACCACAGUUUCCUCCUCUUCCUUCCUCCCCCUAAUCCCCCACCUACUCCUCCCUACUCAUCCACUCUCUUCCUUCAGAAAAGGGCAAGACUCUCAGGGAUAUUAGCAAACAUGGCAUAUCAAGUUGCAAUUACAUUAGGCCCCUCCCCUCAUAGUAAGGCUGGCAGGAGGAGGAUAAAGGUCCCAAAAGCAGGCAAAAGUGUCAGGAUUCCUUGAACUCUACCUAAUGUUAAGCACCGGAUCCCUGUAUCUUUUUCCAUCAGCUGCUGGAUGUAGCCUCUAUGAUGACAACUGGACUAUGUACCAAGCUUUGAAUACAGCAUACAGUGUCAGGAUGAAGUUUCCACACAACUUAUAUGUCACCUUUACCACUGAUUGCUAACAGAAUGGAUUGUAGGUGAAAGGUUUUGUGGCUGGGUUGGUGUCCCAAACUCUUCACUAGGAAUCUUGCUUCGUUAUAGGAGAAAACAGAGGUUUUGUUGUUGUUGCUGCUGUUUUUUUUUUAAUUAUUGAAUAAACAUUUAUACACAGAUGUGAACAUACUGAAAAUUACAUUUAGAAGAAAUAUAUAAUCUGGUUUUUUGUUCUUCAAUAUCAUGGGUAAGUGAGACAGAAUUAGAAAUUUGCUGCAAAGUUAUUUUCACAGUUUUUUAUUGUGCCUGAAAGUAUUUAUCUAUCUAUCUAAAUCCAUAACAGGGUCAAAAAUUCAGGAAUUGGCCACAUUAAGGAUGUAAAAACUCAUUAGUUCAUAAAUUGACCAGAUUCCACAGGAAGCAGUCAGAGAGAAAUCCUCUGUCUUACCAGUAUGAACUGUUGCAGGUAUUUCUGUUAAGUCUUAAUGGAUAUAGUUAUAAUAGUUGAAAAUGACUUGAUGAUUUAUUAUUUAUUUCAGUUUAUAUUUUCAUAAUAAGCCGUUAGUGUACUAGAGACAGGCAGACAUCUACCCUCUGUGUUACUGUAUCUACUUCUUUAUCAACAACCCAAGUUAUAACUUUUGCCAUAUUCCAUCUGGGCAGCUCUUACCUCCAAUUCACCAGACCCCAAAGCCAUGUUUUUAUCAUUCACUUACCCUGUGGUCCUCCUCUGACCCAAAUCCUGGGAACCAACACUCUACCUAUCUCACUUCAGCCUUUCUGGGGGGCAAGUUACAUAGUGUCACUUGGGUCAUGUGAGAAUCUCCUCUUCCCUGGGUGCAACCAGGAUCAGUAUUUAGCAUUACAAUAUAGAGCAACAGACCAAACCUCAACAAUCCCCCCUUUUUUGUCUAAAUACAAAGGCUCCUUUUCGAUAUAAUAAUAAACAACAGACAAUAGAAACACUCAUGAAACAAUUAUUAAAAUUAUUAGGUAUGAGCUAAGUUGGUUUGUCCAGUCUGUUUGUAUUUGGAAAUCUAGGUGAACGUGUUUCAUUAUCUAUCCCAUCUUGGCGAGUUUAGAGUUCAGCAUUUAAAUAACUUUAUAUCCUAAUUUUUAUCCUAAUUUGAAAUAUUAAAGUAAAAUUAUCUUCUUAGAUCUAAAACAUCUUCCUAAAUGCUAAACAACCUAAAUUUAAUUGUGAGACUGUAACUAUUUAGUCUUCAAUCCUAUCAGAGAUUUGAGAAGGAAUAUAUCCUUUCAAUGGCAUGAAUGGAAAUUUAAAUUGUAGUUUGAUUAUAUGAUCAACAAAAGAUUAUGUAUCUAUAUUUUAGGAUUAUGGUUGGUCCAGGUUUUCUGAGCCUGGGCUUAUGGUCAAUGUUAAGGUUCAUCUUUGCUGCUACUAACAGGAUGUGCCCAUUUGCAAGUAAUCUGAUUGUAGGCCCAUUUCUUUUCAGAACAAGACAGUGUACAUCAAAUUAAAGCAGAGUUCUUAAUUCUUGGUAUCCAUUAUAUUUCAGAAUUUUCAGAGCAGAAAUUCAAUGUCACAUAAAUUCUAAUGAUAACAGUAGAAGCAGAAUAGUUUUAUUUCUUAGACUAGUUAAAAUGGAACCUCUCAAAUACAGUCUUCCAAAAGUCAUCUGUUAGUUUCAAAUAAAAAUGAAGUUCAGCACUGAGUUUGCAAUCACCUGAGUCAAGAGAGGAAGCUGAGUUAUAAGUGAAUCUUUCAUCUUUAAUGUAUGUGUGUAUAGCAUGGCACAUGUGUAGUAUGCAAAGGGCACUUAAGGGACUUCCUACUCUCCUUCCACGUAUGACACCAGGAGAUUGAAUUUGGCUUGCCAUCCUUGGCAGUGAGUACCAAUACCUGCUAUGACAUCCUUUUGCCCCAUGAAUCUAUUUCAGAGUGAACACUGGAGAUAGUUUCAUAGAAAACAGUCACGAACACUCAGUAGGUAGCAGCCUCCUGAUACACACUACAAAUAUUUUGGAGAUGUCUUCUCCUACCAUAUGAGUCUGUUUAUUUAGGUUAAGGAAGGAAAUGGUUCACCCUUUGUAAAAAUAUUGGGGUUUUGUUUUAUUUGAAUUAUUUUUUACAAAUAUAAAUACAGCAAUUCUAACCCAAUUUUUUUCCAGAAAAAUAUAACAAUCUAUAAGAUUUAUAUCACAUUAUGAAUUAGUAGGGUUUAGAAUGUAAUGGUUUAACUGUAGCAGACUAAGAGUAGAGGGAACCUCCCAAGGAAAGAGCACUGAUGAAACCUGCGAGCUGAGAGGAGUCUCAGUAAAGUGCUGGCAAGUGACUUUCCCUUUAAUAAUGGGACCAAGAGAAUAAUAAUUAUCAGGUUGUUCUGGUGAACUUUGUGCUUUGGGUACUAACUGAAGAGUUUAGGUAAGUGUAGAAAAUAACAUCCAAAUUAGAAAGAAAAAUUAAAACUAUAUAUGUUGGCAGAUGAUUUAUAUACUAAAUCCCAGAAAAAGAAUCGUGACUUUUAAAGUAAAAACACUAGCUUCUUGUGCAUAUGUAUAUGUGCAUCUGUGUGUGUAUAUGUGUUUUUUUCUCUAUGUGUGUGUGUGUGUGUUUGUCUGUGUAUGUGUGUGUGACUGUGUUGUGAAGCUGUGAAGAAGUGCAAGGCCUUAAGCAUGCUAGGCUAGUGUACAUUCGCUGAAUUGUUUUACCAGCCCUUAUACUAACUUAUGAGAGCAGAAAUGAAGGUGCUAAGAAACCACUUGCAGAAGUUUAGUCUGUCUGAGAUUUUCUUACACAUAUCUAGCAGAAUGUUGAAUGGCCAACAGCAGCUUGUCGUUGAACCUCAAAGUAUGAAAUGUGUUGCUUUGCAUCUGCCUUCUCUGUUGUACAUGGGAACUCUCUGUUCUUUUGACCUUGAUCCUUGAGUGCCAUUCUUUCCAAUCAUUCCCAGAAAGCAGUCCAAUUUCUAGGACUGAUACAUUUAGAAAAUACAAAAACAAAAAAACAAAAAAAAAAAAAAUCUGGCCUAGAAACUAAGAAUCUGAGAGUAACUGAACAAGAAAAGUAAAUACAGCAUUCCGAUAAGAUCCCUGUUUUGUAAAAGAAAUACACAGGCUGUUUCCUAGCCAAGGACAAGACUGCUGCUUAAGUGUUUCACAACAGUUAACCCCUUUAUUGCUGAAACAUUCUCUACUGCUCAAAAUGGGUAUUAUAAAUUUGCUGUGAUCUACCUAGGCUUCAGGUCCAAAAUGAUAGAUUAAAUUGCCUAUUGUUUUAAGUGUCAUUUAAAAUUAAAUUAUUCUUCAAAUGGGAAAUUAUCAGAAAAAAAUAAUUCACAAGAAGAGUCAAACACAUAAUUUGAGAUGAACUUUUUCUUUUCCAACAUUGAAACAGAAGUCGAUUCCUUGAUUUUCAUAUUCAAAACCUUAAUUAUUUCAACAGUUCUGUGCAUAAGAGAGAACUUAGCAAGAAGUUGCCACUUAGUUAUUGCUAAUAUUGCAUCAGGUAUAGUGUGAAUAUGUACUGUUUUAAUUUGUUGCAUGCAUUAUGGUUUUGGCUAAGUAAUAUUUAUUUGUUGUGGUGGCUGUUUUAUGCAUAGUAGAAUAACUAUUGUGAUACCUGGCUUCUGGCUGAUGGACACCAGCACUGUUUCUCCCUAUUCUGAUGUCAGAACACCUCGUGGGGCAUAUCUUUGGACAGCUGAGAAUUUUCCAAUGUUACCUCAUGUUUUUUAAAAGGUUUACUUAUAGUUUCACAUAUAUAUUGAUAAAAUACAAAGCCCAGGGAGGCCACGUUUUUUACUCAGACACUUAUCUGAUGCAUGAAGUUGUCAUGCUUGCCUUGAAGAAUAGAUGCACCAUCUUGACCAACAAAAUCUCCUGUUUUAUUCCCCUCCCUCCCCCCUCUCUGUCUCUGUCUCUCUCUCUCUCUGUCUGUCUCUUGUCUCUCUCUGUCUCCAUCUCUGUCUCUCUCUGUGUGUCUCUCUCUUGUCUCUCUGUGUCUCUCUCUCUGUGUCUCCUGUCUCUCUCUGUGUCUCCUGUCUCUGUCUCUCUCUCUGUCUCUCUCUCUCUCUCUCUCUCUCUCUCUCUCUCUCUUUCUCUCUCUCUCUCUCUCUGAUAGAAGUUCUUACUAUGUAUCCCUGACUAGCCAGAAACUCACCACAAAGACCAAUCUGGCUUCAGCAUUUCAAAAUCCACCACCUCUGCAUCUUGUGUGCUGGGAUUAAAGGCAUGUACAACCAUGUUUGGCUAUAUUCUUCCUUUUGAUGAAGUAAUGGAGAUGGUAAGAAAAAAGACACUAGACUUUAAAGAAAGCCAGUGAGCACUGCUCUGCUCCUAGUUCAGAAAGUGCUAGAGGCAUCUUGUUGACCUCAUAGUAUAGUCCUUGUCUGUCAUGUACCCUGUUAAUUUCCUGUUGUGUUGUAGUAAACUUGUGCAUCAGAGUGGCUCUGCUGAUUGAUUUUGGGAAGAGACCUCACAAUAAUGUCCCUGAAUUCCUGUCCUAUUAAUGUAAAUAUGAGCUGAUAAAGUUCUGGAGAUGUUCUGUAUGUCUACAAAUACCACUUUGGAUCUGAUGAUCUGUGGCACCAUGUGCGAAGUACAUACAAUAUGGGCCAUGGUCACCUGUAAAUAUCAGAUUAUCAGAUUUUAAAUCUGAUUUAAGCCUAGAGUUUUGACUAAUUUUAGUUUUAUAUACCAGUGUUUCUUUCCCAUAAGAGGUUACUGAACAUUUUCUCAUCAAACACUUAAAAUCGGUGGAAGGCAAAAAAAAAAACAUUUCUUAUCAGCACUGCUUUCCUGCAAGUCAUUUGUGUGUUUCAAUAAAUCCAACUUUUACCUGUUGAAUUCUGGAGAAAUCAUAAGCCCACAGUUUAGUCUGCUACUACAAACAUGAAUAAGACACUAUAGAAAUUAUUUACUAAUUUCUUUAAGUAUUCACUUGUUCAGUUAUUAUCAAUUCCUGGCCAUUCACUAGAUUUCUUUCAAAGUUCUAGGUGGAAGUGAACUAUUGCAUUUUCUAUAAAAAUGAUCUUGGGAGAUAUAAAAGUCAGUGUCUUCACGCAAUGAAUUGCUCUCAAAUGUGAUGUCGCACACUGUCUAGCUGCCUGGCUAUUCACCAACUGCUUAAUCUCUUCCUGCUUUUUCUUUAAACAUACAAAUACAUAACCUCAUACACAUAUAAAUGGGACACUACUCUUUCACAGUUAAUGAUCUUUAUCCAUGAUCUUCUGGCAGAGACUAUAUGAACUUUUAAGGUAUGACUUAUCAGUGAAAUUCACUUGCCAACUGGUAUAUUUUUAAUAUCUUUUUUUUAAAAAGCAUACUUUAAUUUUCUCUUUCUAUGAAAUAUGAUGACUAGGUAGAAUAUCUUUCUAAAUACUGUGACAUCACUACUUAUGGAGUUUAACUCACUUAUCUGUAAUUAGUCCUAGAAUUUCACUGAAGAAUGGCACAGGGCUUGUGGCAGAAAGAGAUAGGCCAUGCUUCUCUUGGCUUUUUUUAUGAGCAGCCUUGUGAAUUGUGAUUUUUUUUAUCCUACUCAAAAUGUGUCUAUUAUAUAAUUACAUAUAGUCUUUGCUUUAUAUCUUUUAUGGGGAUCAAUUCAGGUUAGCAUGGAGUCUCUGUCUCUGUCUCUCUCUGUCUCUCUCUGUCUCUGUCUCUCUCUCUGUCUCUGUCUCUGAUGGUUACUGAUUCCUUACUCCUAGUUUACCUCCUUUGUCCUCUCCCACAGCUGUCCUUUACUGCCCAUAAUGCACCAAAACUAUAAGUAGGUAGCCAUUACUCAAUAGUCAUAUGUUUUUCAUUAUUUAUCUCAAAUCACUACCUACUGGCUCCUCUAUAUCUCAGGAAUACUUUCAUCUUGACCUGGUCAGAUGACCCUCUGUAAGGUGUAAUAGUCUGGCUUUGCCAUCAGGUUCUUCAUUUUGUUAUUUGUGUUCUGACAUUGAAUCUGGUUUUAGGUACUAAAGGUCUUUCUCUGUGAACGCACAUUUAACAGAAACUUCAACUCUGCCUUGGUUCUCAAAACACAAAGAAGAGAAGCUCACCUUUGUAUGGCAGGCUAUGUGACUACACCUAUUUGUCCAGGUGAUGGUCCGUGCUUUCUUGGAUCUCUGCCCACUGUGUUUCUCUCUUCUCAGCCUUCUCAACAAAUUACUCCACAGGGUUGUGCCUGCCAUGACCCAAAUCCAACCCGCCAUUCUUCUGCCCCAUAAACUGUUAAACCAUCUUACAGUCAGCUCUGUGGGCAGCAUUCAUAUCAGUAACAUGCUGACUGUAAACUGUGCAGUAAACUGAGUGUUGAUGGCAAACAAGAAAUAGUCUGGAAGUUGAAUCUCCUAAACGUAGUACAUAAAAUUGAAAUUGAAAUUUUGUGAUAUUUAAUUUCUACAAAAGUCAUGCUUAUCAUAUUACUCUUAAAUAACACCAUGUUUUAUUUUUAUUACAGAAAUAAUAAAUUUAUAAGACUAGUGUUUAGUUCUCAUUUUAAAUUUGGUCCUUGGUCAAUUAUUACAUCUAAGGCUACUCUUUGUUGAUUUUAUGUACUACUGAAUAUGGAAAGGAACCAAUAAGGAAGAUUACAGACUUUAACUCAUACAGCUCCCAAGUAUCUGCAGGGAGACAGUGUAUGUCUCUGUUAGUUCUUUUUCCUUUAUAAACCGUGAUAACUGAGGCCUGCUGUGAAAACUGUUUUACUAACCACACAGGACGGUGCAAUGUGAAGCAUAAGUUGCUGUUUUCUUCUGGAAGAUUCCAUCUUCAUGGGUCAGCUUCUCUUUAAAGACAAUGUCAAGUGUGAAAAUAAGGUGGAAGCUCUGUUGAACUAUGAUACAGGAGAUUAAAAAAGAUUGGACUGAAGAAGAGAUUUGGAGACAAAUUGAAUGCUAGUCUCUUUCACAAUGCAUGGUUUGGAGCAUGUUUCUAGAAUCAUCUUAGAGACAUUUGUUUUAAACUAGUUUUUCAUACUCAUUUUAAAAUAAGAAAUCUGUGAUAGCACAAAGAUGUCUGAUAUGUCUAACUUGGUAGCUCUGAGACCCAAAUUUGUGUAUUGGAUGUAGCGAAAGCUUAAGAGUAUACUUUUUCCUCUUUUUUAUUAGAUAUUUUCUAUAUUUACAUAUCAAAUGUUAUCCCCUUUCCUGGUUCCAUUUCGAAAACCCCCUAUCUUCCUCCCCCCCCCAGCCCUCCACUCAACAACGUAACCACUCCUGUUUCCUGGCAUUAGCAUUCCCCUAUACUGGGGCACAGAACCUUCACAGGACCAAGUGCCUCUCCUACCAUUGAUGACUGACUAGACCAUCCUCUGCUGCAUAUGCAGCUAGAGUCAUGAGACCUACCAUGUGUUUUCUUUGGAAGGUGGAUUGGACCCAGGAUGCUCUGGGAGUAUUGGUUAGUUCAUAUUGUUCCACGUACGGGGCUGCAAACCCCUUCAGCUUCUUGAGUACCUUCUCUAUCUCCUUCAUUGUGGACCCUAUGCUCAGUCCAAUGUAUGGCUGUGAGCAUCCACUUCUGCAUUUGUCAGGCACUGGCAGAGCCUCACAGGAGACAGCUAUAUCAGGAUCCUGUCAGCAAGCUCUUGUUGCCAUCUGCAAUAGUGUCUGGGUUUGGUGGUUGUAUAUGGAAUGGAUCCCCAGGUGGGGCAGUCUCUGGAUGGUCAUUCUUUCAGUCUCUGCUACACACUUUGUCUCUGUAACUCCUUACAUAGGUAUUUUGUUCCCCCUUUUAAGAAGGAUCAAAGUAUCUACACUUUGGUCUUCCUUUUUGAGUUUCAUGUGUUUUGCAAAUUUUAUCUUGGGUAUUCUGAACUUCUGGGUUAAUAUCCACUUAUUAGUGAGUGCAUAUCAUGUGUGUCCUUUUGUGAUCGGGUUACCUCACUCAGGAUGAUAUCCUCCAGAUUCAUCCAUUUACCUAAGAAUUUCAUAAAAUCAUUAUUUUUAAUAGCUGCAUAUUAUUCCUUUGUGUAAAUGUACCACAUUUUCUCUACCCAUUCCUCUGAGGAGGGGCAUUUCCGUUGUUUCCAGCUUCUGGAUAUCAUAAAUAUGGCUGCUCUGAAUAUAGUGAAGCAUGUGCCCUUAUUACAUAUUGGAGCAUCUUGUGGGUAUAUGCCCAGGAGUGGUAGUGCUGUAUCCUCCUGUAGUACUAUGUCCAAUUUUCUGAGGAACUGCCCAACUGACUCCCAGAGUGGUUAUACCAGUUUGCAAUACCUUCAGCAAUGGAAGAGUGUUCCUCUGAAGAUUUUUUUCUUAAUGAGAGAAUUAAACAUGAAGGGCAAAGGAAAUCUGUAGUCUUUUUUCUUUUUACGAAGUACCUCUCAUCCUAGAGUUUGAUAUUGUUAGAUUGUCUUUUCAUGCCUAAAUUAAUUUGUUAGUUGUAUUUAUAGUUAUAAGUAUGAAAAAAUGUACUUUUACUAGGAUCUCAGAGGUGGUCCAUCAACAUGUUUAUAAAGGACUUGUUUUAGUGUCCUAAAAUGAAAGUCAUAGGCAAGAUAAUCUAGCUAGAAUAAUUGCCAUAGAUCAUACAACAGAACUUAAAAAUUAAUAUAGUUCUAUAGUAAUGAUAUAAAUGAUAAUGAGAAGAAUGCUAUUAUUAGAAAGUUCUAUGUAUCACUGUAAGCAAAUGCUCAUGUGUGUGGGUAUUGGGAAGACUAAUGAUGUAGUCAGAUGCCUAUGUCUAAAUAUAGAAGCCUCAAGGCUCUGAAGACACAUUUCUACACUAACACAGGUGGGCUUGUUGAUGACUCACAUCAUGAGAGCUGCUAUGUUGAUGACAUAGUACUUUGGAAAUUGUGAAGACACUCUUGGUAAAUUUUUAAAUCAAAAAAUCUUUAAGCCAGUUCAGAUUUACAUAAUAGUUUUUGUAUUCCUUCAUUUAACCAACAGGAAAAAAUGUGUCUGAAAUACUUGGUGUUCAUUUACUCAGUGUUAUGAUAAAUAUAUUGUUAUUUUGGAUGAGUGUCUAGUGAACCAAUUGAAAGCAUCAUGGAGCCUACUGGACUGCACUGUGCAUUGUAGGAUGUCUAUAACUCCUGAAUUCUGCUCACUGGCUUUCAGUGUAACCCUUUCCCUGUAGAAUCCCAGAUUCUUCGGUUGUUUUAUUUUCUCUUUCAUAUAUACAUGUAAAUAAUUUAAAUUAUUUUUCUGUACAUAUUAAAAAAGAUUUCCUUUAUAAAAUAUUGUUAGUGCUAAUACUAACAUAAAACAAUAACAGCAUUAUAGACAGUGCUUAUUGUUUCCAAAAGGUGGUGUCUGUUCACAUAAAAUCAGAAAUGCUUUGGGGCAGGUUAAUGUUUUCCUUUGUGCAGUAUAACAAUAUUACCUGCUACUGCCAUGAAAAGAAGAAAACAAUUUUAAUGAGAAAUAUUUUUUCAGUCCCAAAUAAUGAAUCUCCACCUCUUCUGCUACAUCCUUCCCUCUACAUAAAUAGUUAGAUGGUAGGUAUAAAUAAUAGAUAAAACAAGUGACAGACAGACAGAUAGACAGAUGAUAGAUAUAUUGAUUGACAGAAAAAAACUGAUAGAUAAAUAGGUAGAAAGAUGAUAAAUAGAUAUAAAGAAAGAUACAUGAUUGAUACAUAUGUGAUAGUUGAUAGAUGGAUGGAUAAGGAAAUAGAUAGAUAGAUAGAUAGAUAGAUAGAUAGAUAGAUAGAUAGAUAGAUGAUAGAUAGAUAGAUAGAUAGAUAGAUAGAUAGAUAGAUAGAACUUUUGCUAAUGGUAAUCGUUUUUCCUUUUAGACUUUGCUUACUUUUAUUCUUGAAGAGGGAAAACUCAUGGCUAACUCACCUUCUUAUGAUAUAAUAAGUGUAUUUAUACAAUGACAGCUGGCACCAGAAUUGUCAAAUAAGGAUCCAAGAAACUUGUGAGAACAUGGUCUAUAAUUUGAUAUAGUCUAUGUCUUUUAAUUUUAUGUUGCUGCCUCAAAAUACACAUUUCCAUAUUUACAAUUGCAUAGCUUUUCUGUACUGAUUAUUUAUAAAUCUGAUCUUAUUCUUUGGCAUGUUUAGAUGAAUAGA